rnacentral:rRNA from 1 species
CGGGGGUGCUAAUACAUGCAAGUCGAGCGGACAGAAGGGAGCUUGCUCCCGGAUGUUAGCGGCGGACGGGUGAGUAACACGUGGGUAACCUGCCUGUAAGACUGGGAUAACUCCGGGAAACCGGAGCUAAUACCGGAUAGUUCCUUGAACCGCAUGGUUCAAGGAUGAAAGACGGUUUCGGCUGUCACUUACAGAUGGACCCGCGGCGCAUUAGCUAGUUGGUGAGGUAACGGCUCACCAAGGCGACGAUGCGUAGCCGACCUGAGAGGGUGAUCGGCCACACUGGGACUGAGACACGGCCCAGACUCCUACGGGAGGCAGCAGUAGGGAAUCUUCCGCAAUGGACGAAAGUCUGACGGAGCAACGCCGCGUGAGUGAUGAAGGUUUUCGGAUCGUAAAGCUCUGUUGUUAGGGAAGAACAAGUGCAAGAGUAACUGCUUGCACCUUGACGGUACCUAACCAGAAAGCCACGGCUAACUACGUGCCAGCAGCCGCGGUAAUACGUAGGUGGCAAGCGUUGUCCGGAAUUAUUGGGCGUAAAGGGCUCGCAGGCGGUUUCUUAAGUCUGAUGUGAAAGCCCCCGGCUCAACCGGGGAGGGUCAUUGGAAACUGGGAAACUUGAGUGCAGAA